rnacentral:lncRNA from 1 species
CUCACUCAUGCCUGUGUAGGAGAAUUGUAUGUGAGUGACUUGCCUUUGCCAGAACUAAUAAAGAGCAGAGCAAACUGUGGGCCAGAUCAUCCAGCUCCAAGUUUAGUCAACCUUCCACUUAAAAUAUGUAUAAUUAAUUCAUGUAAUUAGUGCAUUCUAUAAUGUAUUAUGGGAGAAGGCAAUGGCACCCCACUCCAGUACUGUUGCCCGGAAAAUCCCAUGGAUGGAGGAGUCUGGUAGGCUGCAGUCCAUGGGGUCGCUAAGAGUCAGACACGACUGAGUGACUUCACUUUCACUUUCUACUUUCAUGCACUGGAGAAGGAAAUGGCAACCCACUCCAGUGUUCUUGCCUGGAGAAUCCCAGGGACGGGGGAGCCUGGUGGGCUGCCAUCUAUGGGGUCGCACAGAGUCAGACACGACUGAAGUGACUUAGCAGCAGCACGGUGCCUGCGUUAGGCUAUACAUGUUAACAGUCCACACAAGUCUGCUAGGUGAGCAACAUACUUAGACAAGGGAAGAGGACAGAUUAGCAAAGUUUCGUUUUUGAUUCUACUCUUUUUCUGUCUACAAGCAAAUAUACUAAGGGUACCAGGAAACAUAGCCUACUUGUUGACUAAUGAUGAAAUGAUAUGGCCCUUCAUUAUAUACAUAAAAGCUUAUGAAGCCACUGUGAAAUCUGCAAAGAAUCGUUUUGCCUUUUGACCCAUUUUCAAGUGGAAAGCAAAGUUCUCUUCCCAGUUCCCAUCAUCUGCCUCAAGAGAAAGAAUUACUGAACUCCCACUGCCUAUAGAGAAAAAAUGGGACUGGGGGAGUCAAGGCAGUGCUGACCUGCCUGGGACUCCCCACUGCCUGCUGGGUGAGAAUGGACAGGGCACUCCAGACCCUUUUUCUAUCUCCACUACCCCUUCCACUGCCUGUCUCUCUCACUCCCCUAAAUGCUCUCUUGGAGUUAAAAAUAAAUACAUAUUCCAGAAAGCCCCUGGGCAAAAUGAAAGUGAGUUACCGAGAAUGUUCAUAAUUAAGGUAUUAGAAUCCAUUAACAGAAAAUUCUUUUUUUUUUUUUUAAGACUAUCUGGCUGCCUAGUCUACAGCCCUGAGGACAAAAGCAUCAUCAGUGACAAGGAGACGUCCUGCUGGGGAGUAAGAUUUUACCGAGACCCAGUUGAGGAGACAUAUGUGGGGAACUUGGAUCGUCUGAGACAAGCUGUCAAUGCCAGGCAAGCAGCGAUAUGCGUCCUUUCCACCUUCCAUUUUGCUGUAUAAUAUCUCCCACCUUGGCUACAGUUUUGGUGGAACUGUCAAUCAACUCAUCAGGACUGAACUGCCUCCGCCAAGAGGUGAGUUUGUGAUCCAAGUUCUGUCAAUCAGAUGCCCUCUCCCUGGAAUUUGAUUCUUUGGCAGAGUAACAGUGAGGCUGAAGGGAGAAGGAACUCAUUCAUCACUGUCUUUUUACUUUCUACUGUCUCUUUCUAUCACAGAGCUGUACUCAUACUUCAACUUUCUCUUCAAGUAUUGAGUUAUACUGAAUCUUUCCAAUAAAUCCCCUGAUUUUUCUUUCCCUUAAGCAGGUGGGUGGUAGCUUUGUUGUUUGCAUCCAACUGUAGCCAUAUCUUGAAUACCUUCUUUGGAUAAAUAAAAAUACAUUCCUAUUUCUUGCCCCAAACUAGUCUUUCUCUUCAUGCUACUUUAGUCAGCUCAAAUCUUCCCCCAACCCCAGUCCCUCAUCCAAGAGGGAAAGAAAAAACACUCUCUACUAUUUGCUCUAAUCCCCCAAAUGAGGAAUUCACACAAGUCCCUGAAUUCACCCUGUGUCCCAAAGACAAAAAUACAUAUGCCAACACUGCUAGCAAUGGUGUCUUCUUUCUUGGUCAUGUUAUA